CUUGCUCUGUGGGAUCAGUGGCGAACGGGUGAGUAACACGUGAGCAACCUGCCCCUGACUCUGGGAUAAGCGCUGGAAACGGCGUCUAAUACUGGAUAUGUGACGUGACCGCAUGGUCUGCGUUUGGAAAGAUUUUUCGGUUGGGGAUGGGCUCGCGGCCUAUCAGCUUGUUGGUGAGGUAAUGGCUCACCAAGGCGUCGACGGGUAGCCGGCCUGAGAGGGUGACCGGCCACACUGGGACUGAGACACGGCCCAGACUCCUACGGGAGGCAGCAGUGGGGAAUAUUGCACAAUGGGCGAAAGCCUGAUGCAGCAACGCCGCGUGAGGGAUGACGGCCUUCGGGUUGUAAACCUCUUUUAGCAGGGAAGAAGCGAAAGUGACGGUACCUGCAGAAAAAGCGCCGGCUAACUACGUGCCAGCAGCCGCGGUAAUACGUAGGGCGCAAGCGUUAUCCGGAAUUAUUGGGCGUAAAGAGCUCGUAGGCGGUUUGUCGCGUCUGCUGUGAAAUCCCGAGGCUCAACCUCGGGCCUGCAGUGGGUACGGGCAGACUAGAGUGCGGUAGGGGAGAUUGGAAUUCCUGGUGUAGCGGUGGAAUGCGCAGAUAUCAGGAGGAACACCGAUGGCGAAGGCAGAUCUCUGGGCCGUAACUGACGCUGAGGAGCGAAAGGGUGGGGAGCAAACAGGCUUAGAUACCCUGGUAGUCCCACCCCCGUAAACGUUUGGGAAACUAGUUGUUGGGG
rnacentral:rRNA from 1 species